rnacentral:pre_miRNA from 1 species
CAUGUACUCCCUCCGUUCUGAAUUACUUGUCGUAGGUAUGGAUGUAUCUAGAUGUAUUUUAGUUUUAGAUACAUUCAUUUCUGCGACGAGUAAUUUGGAACGGAGGGAGUAGUUG